rnacentral:lncRNA from 1 species
AACUCAACAGCAGAGAUUAUACUGCAAUGUUUUGACCAGGUCACUUGCAGUUCAUAUUUUUUAAUAUCAAGUCCAUGAUAUUGCUAAUGGUAAUACACUUGAGUGCAUUUAAGCAGUCAAAUUUAGGUACUGCUGAAACACUAACUCAUUCUGACAUUACUACCAAGCUCCACACCUCUCCUAAAACCCCAGUAUUAAAAUACAUCAUCACUGGAGGGCCUUUUAAGUCCGAAAGGUCCUGACUUGCUCCUAGCAAUGCAGACUAAAGACAAUCCUAAAUCAAAACAAAAAGGC